UAGGGUUUGAUCCUGGCUCAGAACGAACGCUGGCGGCGUGCCUAACACAUGCAAGUCGUACGGCAGCAGGCCCUUCGGGGUGCUGGCGAGUGGCGCACGGGUGAGUAACGCGUGGGUUACCUGCCCAUCAGUGGGGGAUAACCCCGGGAAACCGGGGCUAAUACCGCAUACGUCCUACGGGAGAAAGCUGGCCUCUGCUUGCAAGCUGGCGCUGAUGGAUGGGCCCGCGUCGGAUUAGCCAGUUGGUAGGGUAACGGCCUACCAAGGCGAUGAUCCGUAGCUGGUCUGAGAGGAUGAUCAGCCACACUGGAACUGAGACACGGUCCAGACUCCUACGGGAGGCAGCAGUGGGGAAUAUUGCGCAAUGGGCGAAAGCCUGACGCAGCGACGCCGCGUGCGGGAAGAAGGCCUUCGGGUUGUAAACCGCUUUCAGCAGGGAAGAAGGGAUGCGGGUGAACAGCCUGCUGACUUGACGGUACCUGCAGAAGAAGCACCGGCUAAUUUCGUGCCAGCAGCCGCGGUAAUACGAAAGGUGCGAGCGUUGUUCGGAUUUACUGGGCGUAAAGCGGGCGUAGGCGGCUUGCCAAGUCGGAUGUGAAAUCCCGGGGCUCAACCCCGGAAUUGCAUCCGAUACUGGCGGGCUGGAGUUCGGGAGAGGGUAGCGGGAAUUCCGUGUGUAGCAGUGAAAAUGCGUAGAUAUACGGAGGAACACCAGAGGCGAAGGCGGCUACCUGGACCGAUACUGACGCUGAGGCCCGAAAGCGUGGGAGCAAACAGGAUUAGAUACCCUGGUAGUCCACGCCCUAAACGAUGUCGACUAGCCCGUUGCGGGUAUCGACCCCUGCAGUGC
rnacentral:rRNA from 1 species